UGACCUCGGAUCAGUAGGGAUACCCCGCUGAACUUA
rnacentral:rRNA from 1 species